rnacentral:rRNA from 1 species
AUACGGAGGGGGCGAGCGUUGUUCGGAGUCACUGGGCGUAAAGCGCGCGUAGGCGGCGUGGUAAGUCGAGGGUCAAAGGCUACGGCUUAACCGUAGUAAGGCCUUUGAUACUAUCAUGCUAGAGUGCCGGAGAGGGUAGCGGAAUUCCCUGUGUAGCGGUGAAAUGCGUAGAUAUAGGGAGGAACACCGGUAGCGAAGGCGGCUACCUGGCCGGUAACUGACGCUGAGGUGCGAGAGCGUGGGUAGCGAACAGGAUUAGAAACCCUAGUAGUCC